ensembl:lncRNA
UGUGAACAGUGGAGGCAUGGUGGAUUCUGGGGAUGCUGGGAUGUAUUCUCUGAGCAUCUCUGUACCGUCCACAUUUUUGGCCUCAGACAGCCGAGGAGGAUAAAAGGUCUCUCUCUCUCUGUACCAAUCACAUUCAUGCUCACAGGUGAGUUAAUUCAGACUGCUUAUACAUUAUUAAUAAUAAUAUAUUGGAUUCAUAUAGCUCAAGUUGUACUUAAAACAGGAAGGAGUAUGUCAGAACAUCUUGGGAGUGUGAGAACCGAGCUGUACACUCUUACUUUCACUUCUGUUCUGAUGUAAUGCACUGUCACUCACUCACUCACUCACUCACUCACUCACUCACUCACUCACUCACUCACUCACUCACUCACUCACUCACUCACUCACUCACUCACUCACUCACUCACUCACUCACUCACUCACUCACUCACUCACUCACUCACGCUCCCUCUGUGUUGUUCAGGCCCUGUUAAAGCCAAUCGACAGUCACCUGAAAACAACGUAAAUUCAUCAUCUGUAGCUUUGUCUCACACGUCUCACAAAUACCCUCACACAUGAUGUCCUUUGUUUAACCAUAACAUCACCGGGGGCAAACUACCAGCCCUCCAGGACACCUACAGCACCCAAUGUCACAGGAAGACCAAAUAUCAUCAAGGACAUCAACCACACGAGCUAAGGCCUAUACACCCCGCUACCAUCCAGAAGGCGAGAGGGUGAUGGAGCUGGAUGCUGAUGAAAACCUUCACAAAUUCCUCUUUUUGGAUGAAGCAGGCUUCAACCUGGCCAAGACAAGGAGGAGAGGUUGGAAUCUCAUUGGCCAGCGGGCAACCAACCAAGUACCUGGACAACAUGGGGCCAACAUCACCAUGUGUGCGGCUAUAUCAGAAGACGGUGUGGUGGGACGCAGACCUCGUAUUGGAUCAUAUAAAGCAGCUCUCCUUGUGUAACCUUCUUGAUGAGAUAAAUCGGGUCUGUAGAGCUGAUGUCGUGACCUAUGUCAUUGCGUGGGUUAAUGUCAGGUUCUACCAUGCUCAAAUGGUGCAAGCACGGUUUCAGGCCCAUCCACAAUUUAUCACCCUGUACUUACCCCUAUACUCUCCUUUCCUUAACCCGAUUGAGACAUUUUUCUCCAAGUGGAGGUGAAAGGUAUAUGAUAGGCGCCCUCAGGAACAAGCCACCCUUCUCCAGGCCAUGGAUGAUGUAUGCAAUGACAUCACGGCAGACCAGUGUCAGGCCUGGAUUCACCCUGCCCGAAGAUUCUUCCCAAGAUGUUUGGCCAAUGAAAACAUCCAUUGAUGAGAACCUUUGGCCAAAUCCACAAGACAGGUUUGAUGGAAAUAUAGAAGUACAGUAAUCAAUCCUUUGUUUUGCUUUUUACAGUAAGCCAGGUGAGGAACACUGCAGUUGACAUUUUACUGUAGUGUUUUUCUUUUUUGAAGCUAAUAAUUUUUGCUUUGAUUCAAGGAGACCUGACCUAUGUUGUGAUUUUAUUGUAUUUCAUCAAUACCUUUCAGAUUUUGUUCAAUGAUUCCAAUGUGUCUGUAGUAUUCUCUUUGCUAGUCAUUUUACAGUGAUGUAUUACGUGUAGUACCAUAAUGAAACACGUAUCACAUAUUUUGUACUACAAUAUUUAAUGAUUGUAUGAACAACUACACAGUGAAACUAUUGGUAUAUUGUGUGUGGGUGAUCUAAAUUAAUGUUCCUAUGGUAUUUCAUGAUGAAAGAGUUAUUUGAACCAGUGCAAGGUUUCUUUAAAGAUAUGAAUGCACAAUACAUUGUUUUGAACAUUGGACAGCCUGUGUAACAAGUGAUGACCGUUUUGAGUUUUGUGUCUAGAGUUUUGAAAAAUGACCACAAGAUUCUGAAAUUAGUGCCAAAGGGAUUGUAAAAAACUGUAAAUAGCCAUCACUAAUUGGCUUCCACCCGGUUACGCAACCCUGCACCUUAGAGGCUGCUGCCCUAUAUACAUAUACUUGGAGUGACUGGCCACUUUAAUAAUGGAACACUAGUCACUUUAAUAAUGUUUACAUACUGCUUUACUCAUCUCAUAUGUAUAUACUGUAUUCUAUUCUACUGUAUUUUAGUCAAUGCCACUCCAACAUUGCUCAAUCUAAUAAUUAUAUAUUUCUUAAUUACAUUCUUUUACUUUUAGAUGAGUGUAUAUUGUUGUGAAUUGUUAGAUAUUACUUUACUCUUGGAGCUAGAAACACAAGCCUUUCUCUACAUACCCUUUCUCUGAUCUGUUUCAUCUGUUUCACCUGUCUUGUGCUUGUCUCCACCCCCCACCAGGUGUUUCCCAUUUGUCCCCAUUACCUCACUGUGUAUUUAUACACUAUGAAGUACCUCAGAAAACAAACGUUCACAGAGAGAGAGAGAGAGAUUUUUUAGCAGCCUUCUUAAAGGAAGGGGGUUUGGGUUCAAGGGUUAGGGGUCAGCAUUAGGGGUUAUAGUCAAGGUAACAAUAACAUUCUUAAAACAGGCAAAUGCUCAUAUUUCAGUUUGUAGCCAGAGCUCUGAACUUGAUUCCUUUCAUGGAACUUAAGUAUGUUUGUUUUUAUCCAUCACAUGCAUCUUUUUACUCUGUAUGAAAUGUUCACUGCUGUAAAAAUGAAAAGCAGGCUAAAUAAAUUGACUUCAACCAUCCUGUAAUCUCUUACUUCACA